CAUGUACUCCCUUCCUUCUAAAUUAUUUGUUUUAGAUUUAUCUAGAUACGGAGGUAUCUAGCAUUAAAAUGAGUCUAGAUACAUUUGUAUAUAGACAAAUCCAGGACAAAUAAUUCUGAACCAAAGGAGUAGGAG
rfam:Triticum aestivum genome assembly, contig: Triticum_aestivum_CS42_TGACv1_scaffold_197492_3AL